ensembl:lncRNA
GUUAGAAUCCCUUGAGGAAUACUGUAAAAAGUCCCAGGACCCAGGUCCUUCCCCAGACCAAUUAAAUCAGGACCUCUGGGGGUGGCGUCCUAGCCUUGGUAGUUUUUAAAGCUCUCCAGGUGAGUCCAGGGUGCAGGCAGGGUUGAGCCCACCUGGAUGAGGUGCUUGAGUCCAUCAUCUCAGUGAAGACGGGGUGAUGUUAGUGAGCAUGUACAGUCUUCCCUCAGUAUCCCUGAGGGAUUUGUUCCAGGAUUCCCCAGAGAUACCAAACUCCUCAGAUGCUCAAGUUCCUUAUGGUAUAAGAUGGUGCAGUGAGGUCAACCCUCCUAUUUGCGGUUCCACAUGAGCAGAUUCAACCAACUGCAGAUGGAUCUGGUUGGUUGACUUGCAGGCUGCAGAAUUCCUGAAUACAAAGGGCCAACUGUGUGUUAUAGAAGAGAAAAAAGCUGACCCAGCCCACCCCGCAUUCUCCUAGAGGGGAAUACUUUGAAUGGCGCUUGUCACCAAUGUGCUUAAGUCCAAAGCCAGGGAGUCCUCCUCCUUUUCCCUUCCUUUAGUGAUGCUGACCCGGUUGUUUACCAGAGCCAAGGAGGAAGGACCAGCUGGCUCUGCCCUGAUGCUGCACAGCUCAUGACGGAUGGAUUCCAGCCCUACUUAUCCUCCCUGUCCUGUGGGGCCCAAGUAAAUAGGGCUCUUUUGUAUGAGGAACCCCGGAGUUGCUGAGUGCCCAGCCCACCAGCCCAUGUGGCGGGAUUCAGGCAGGUUGAUAUGGAAAGAUGGACAUUUACAUCUGAGCAUGUCAGAGAGAAGUCAGAAGCCUAAAGAAACUUGCAGGGAUAUUUGCAACCUAGUUCCUGACAAGAUGGAAAGAUGAACACAGGAUCCUUCCCUGUCAUGGCUUCGCUCAUAGUAGACACUCAAUAAAUACUCACUCACUUCUUUAAUUAGAUAGAAGAAUAAAAAAU